AGCUCAGUUGGUAGAGCAUGGGACUCUUGAUCUCAGGAUCAUGAGUUUAAGCCUCAU
rnacentral:tRNA from 1 species